CCUACGGGAGGCUGCAGUGGGGAAUAUUGGACAAUGGGCGAAAGCCUGAUCCAGCCAUGCCGCGUGUGUGAAGAAGGCCUUCGGGUUGUAAAGCACUUUCAGUGGGGAAGAAAGCCUUGGGGCUAAUACCCUCGAGGAAGGACAUCACCCACAGAAGAAGCACCGGCUAACUCCGUGCCAGCAGCCGCGGUAAUACGGAGGGUGCGAGCGUUAAUCGGAAUUACUGGGCGUAAAGCGCGCGUAGGCGGUCUGAUAAGCCGGUUGUGAAAGCCCCGGGCUCAACCUGGGAACGGCAUCCGGAACUGUCAGGCUAGAGUGCAGGAGAGGAAGGUAGAAUUCCCGGUGUAGCGGUGAAAUGCGUAGAGAUCGGGAGGAAUACCAGUGGCGAAGGCGGCCUUCUGAACUGACACUGACGCUGAGGUGCGAAAGCGUGGGUAGCAAACAGGAUUAGAUACCCCAGUAGUC
rnacentral:rRNA from 1 species